GAACAUCUUUUCCAUCAUCACCUCCAUCAUAAUUUUCUCCAUUUGCCUGUGAGCUUGUGCCUGUUGUAUUGUCCUUUUGCAAAAGACAACACAGAGAAUUCACCCUUGACAUGAGGGAUUUCUCAUCAGAGGCUGUUGUAAAUUGAGUGUCACUAAGAAGGUAUUGUGCAAUAUCCUCCAGCAUUUCCUGGCAGUCUGGUCUAUUUUCAGAGGAUGGAUUUUCGGAGGUCAUGUGUUCUGAAAGACGGUGUCCAAUGUGGUUCAUAAGAUCACUCAUGGACAUAGAAGGGUGAAGUCCCGGCACUUUUAUCUGGUCCCAAUUUCUAGGCCCCUUUGAAUCCACUGCUUCACAAACUCC
rnacentral:lncRNA from 1 species